rnacentral:rRNA from 1 species
GGUUAAGCGACUAAGCGUACACGGUGGAUGCCCUGGCAGUCAGAGGCGAUGAAGGACGUGCUAAUCUGCGAUAAGCGUCGGUAAGGUGAUAUGAACCGUUAUAACCGGCGAUUUCCGAAUGGGGAAACCCAGUGUGUUUCGACACACUAUCAUUAACUGAAUCCAUAGGUUAAUGAGGCGAACCGGGGGAACUGAAACAUCUAAGUACCCCGAGGAAAAGAAAUCAACCGAGAUUCCCCCAGUAGCGGCGAGCGAACGGGGAGCAGCCCAGAGCCUGAAUCAGUGUGUGUGUUAGUGGAAGCGUCUGGAAAGGCGCGCGAUACAGGGUGACAGCCCCGUACACAAAAAUGCACAUGCUGUGAGCUCGAUGAGUAGGGCGGGACACGUGGUAUCCUGUCUGAAUAUGGGGGGACCAUCCUCCAAGGCUAAAUACUCCUGACUGACCGAUAGUGAACCAGUACCGUGAGGGAAAGGCGAAAAGAACCCCGGCGAGGGGAGUGAAAAAGAACCUGAAACCGUGUACGUACAAGCAGUGGGAGCACAGAGCAAUCUGUGUGACUGCGUACCUUUUGUAUAAUGGGUCAGCGACUUAUAUUCUGUAGCAAGGUUAACCGAAUAGGGGAGCCGAAGGGAAACCGAGUCUUAACUGGGCGUUAAGUUGCAGGGUAUAGACCCGAAACCCGGUGAUCUAGCCAUGGGCAGGUUGAAGGUUGGGUAACACUAACUGGAGGACCGAACCGACUAAUGUUGAAAAAUUAGCGGAUGACUUGUGGCUGGGGGUGAAAGGCCAAUCAAACCGGGAGAUAGCUGGUUCUCCCCGAAAGCUAUUUAGGUAGCGCCUCGUGAAUUCAUCUUCGGGGGUAGAGCACUGUUUCGGCUAGGGGGUCAUCCCGACUUACCAACCCGAUGCAAACUACGAAUACCGAAGAAUGUUAUCACGGGAGACACACGGCGGGUGCUAACGUCCGUCGUGAAGAGGGAAACAACCCAGACCGCCAGCUAAGGUCCCAAAGUCAUGGUUAAGUGGGAAACGAUGUGGGAAGGCACAGACAGCCAGGAUGUUGGCUUAGAAGCAGCCAUCAUUUAAAGAAAG